CCGGUGCUGCUUAACACCAGCCCAUUGUCCUGUCCACCUCAACGCAGCCAGGAUCCAAUAAUUAAUUAACUGUAUUUCAUCGAACGCUUCCAUUUACCGCGUGUGCACCAACCACGGUUAUAUACAUCCAUCCAACGUGGAAUUAUUAUCGCGUAAAUCGUGGAACGCGUGCUUCCUUUUAAGCGUCUCGGCUCGAAAUCGAAAUGCUUAUUAUAAGAGAACUCUUGGUUCAGUUCCUAUUAGGGGUUGGUAAACGGUGGUUUCUGAUUUAUCGACUCAUUUCGUGGCCGUGGUUUCUGUUGCUUCGCCGAUUGCUUGUUUACGAGAUUUUAUCAAGAUUUUGCGUGAGUAGAAGUUACUUUGGUGUCAGUGAGAUUCUUCGAUACGAAAUCAAGGAUGUUCCUUUUUCGAAAGGUUGAUAGUUCAGGUUAGAAGUUUAUUCUCAACAAUCGAUCAAUCUUAAAACAGAACCUCUUUCGAUGUCCACCUUUACCUAACCUCAACAACGAAAGAAAAAAGAUCAGUUUCAUCUCUCGAACGACUCGAUCAAUCGUGAGGACGAUCAAUUUCAAGUAUUCACCAAUCGAAAUCAAUCGAAAGCUCGAGAGGAGCGGGUAGAGCAAGAAACAGACGCCACCGGAAAUCAUCAUUCUAACCGGGUACGUUUAAUCGAAGGGAAAACCGGAAUACGCCGCGGGCUGACUGACAACAGGAUCAACCUGCUCUGUGGACGUAUCGAAGCCAGGAUUCCAUUCCGGCUCGAUUUUUCAACACCGACACGGCGACCGCAAGUAUCCCCACUCGUCUCCACGACCGACUCUUUUCUUCUCGAUCGCUGAUUAAUUACACGUAUUGUUAGACGAGCGUUCUUCUUCUUCGAUCGUGUAAAUGUGGCGCCGUUCUAGUCGAGUGGGAAUGGGAAACGUCGGAAACGUUGGUAAUACUGGUCUACAUUCGCGCUGCGAACGUCAGAGUGCACCGCAAAGUCCAUAUCCCUAAGUUUCGAGGAUACGACACGAGGAUAUCGUGGUCGGCACGUACACCAGCUGGUCCAACUUCUUGUCCAGCGUCGACAGCUGCAACGAAAACGAAAAAUCGGAAUUGGAAUCAGUGAGAGCAAAAACCCUGACUUCUGGAGGGGAUAUGUCUGUGGAUCAUUCGUGGCUCGAAGAGGAAGAGUGCAAGAGAGAAAGAGAGAGAAA